AGCUAACGCAUUAAGCACUCCGCCUGGGGAGUACGGUCGCAAGAUUAAAACUCAAAGGAAUUGACGGGGGCUCGCACAAGCGGUGGAGCAUGCGGUUUAAUUCGAUGUUACGCGAAAAACCUUACCAACCCUUGACAUGGUGGUCGCGGAUCGCAGAGAUGCUUUUCUUCAGCUCGGCUGGAUCACACACAGGUGUUGCAUGGCUGUCGUCAGCUCGUGUCGUGAGAUGUUGGGUUAAGUCCCGCAACGAGCGCAACCCUCAUUCUUAUUUGCCAGCGGGUAAUGCCGGGAACUAUAAGAAAACUGCCGGUGAUAAGCCGGAGGAAGGUGGGGACGACGUCAAGUCAUCAUGGCCCUUACGGGUUGGGCUACACGCGUGCUACAAUGGU
rnacentral:rRNA from 1 species